UUGUCUCUUAGAGUUCCUUUGAACGCUUCAUAUGUAAGGCUAUCUCUGGUCUAAAAUUCUUUAGAAAAGAUAGUCCCUUCUUUAAUGAAGUGUUUGGGGGAACUCUUGGGUUCAA
rnacentral:pre_miRNA from 1 species